GACAAAGAUCUCAUGUUUUUCCCCAUAAUAUUUGUCUAUUUGGCUAUGGUUGUUAUUAUCAAUAGUUUUGGUUGUUUUAUGACAAUCAAGAAAGAGGAAAAUGACAUUGAACAAGAUAUGGACAGCCUUGAAGACGAAGUUGAUAGUGCGGACAAACUUACUUUAGUUAUUAAUCCCUUGGAUCAAAUACCUGAUAUACCAAAUACAAAUGACUGCGUUACGAUGCCAGUAGUACAGUGGUGUACGGCUGUAUGAGGUCACUUCAAGGUUCCAGCACUAUCCCUAUGCUCUCAAAGCUCCCACACUCUUACCAUGCUCCGAGGCUCCCACAUCAUCACCAUACUUCAAGCCUCCCACACCAUCACCAUGCUCCAAGGCUCCCACAUCAUCACCAUACUUCAAGGCUCCCACACCAUCUCCAUGCUCUCAAAGCUCCCACACUCUCACCAUGCUCUCAAAGCUCACACACCAUCACCAUACUUCAAGACUCCCACUCUAACGCCAUGCUCCAAGGCUCCCACAACAUCACCAUCACUAUGCUGCAAGGUUCCUACACCAUCAGCAUGCUCCAAGGCUCCCAAAACAUCACCAGGCCAUGCUCCAAGGUCCGCACACUAUCACCAUGCUCCGAUGCUCCCACACUAUCAGUCUAUUACCAUGCUCCGAGGCUCCCACACCAUCACCAUGCUCCGAGGCUCCCACACCAUCACCAUGCUCCAAGGCUCCCACACUAUCACCAUGCUCCGAGGCUCCCACACCAUCACCAUGCUCCAAGGCUCCCACACUAUCACUACACUUAAUUGGCUAAGAAAUUAUUUAUUUUUCAAACAGACAACAAUAUAUUGAAUGCAAUAGGGUAACGUCCACGUUUAAUACUAUAAGAUGUGGAGUACCUCAAGGGUCUGUACUUGGGCCAUUACUAUUUCUGAUAUAUAUUAAUGAUAUUUGCAAUGUCUCAGAUGCCUUGGAAUUGGUCUUAUUUGCUGACGAUACCAAUCUAUUUUUUUCUCAUCAUGAUCUAUCUAACUUGACCAACAUCGUCAAUAUAGAGUUACUUAAGUUAUCUGAUUGGUUUAAAGCCAAUAAGCUAUCUUUAAAUAUAAAGAAGUCAACUUAUGAUAUUUGCUGUGUUGGUGCAAUGUACUCAGGUGAAUAAGAUGCUUGUGAUGUUACUCUGAGUGUAUAUCCACACCAGGCAGGCUUGAAAAAUAUGCCUGGCCACGGUGGGAAUCGAACCACGACCUUUGGAAUACUA